ACCUAGCUGGCUCAGUUGGAAGAGCACGCGACUCUUGAUCUGGGGUCGUGAGUUCGAGUCCCACGUUGGGUG
rnacentral:tRNA from 1 species